rnacentral:rRNA from 1 species
AUUGAACGCUGGCGGCAUGCCUUACACAUGCAAGUCGAACGGCAGCAUAGGAGCUUGCUCCUGAUGGCGAGUGGCGAACGGGUGAGUAAUAUAUCGGAACGUGCCCUAGAGUGGGGGAUAACUAGUCGAAAGACUAGCUAAUACCGCAUACGAUCUACGGAUGAAAGUGGGGGAUCGCAAGACCUCAUGCUCCUGGAGCGGCCGAUAUCUGAUUAGCUAGUUGGUGGGGUAAAAGCCUACCAAGGCAACGAUCAGUAGCUGGUCUGAGAGGACGACCAGCCACACUGGGACUGAGACACGGCCCAGACUCCUACGGGAGGCAGCAGUGGGGAAUUUUGGACAAUGGGGGCAACCCUGAUCCAGCAAUGCCGCGUGAGUGAAGAAGGCCUUCGGGUUGUAAAGCUCUUUUGUCAGGGAAGAAACGGUAGUAGCGAAUAACUACUACUAAUGACGGUACCUGAAGAAUAAGCACCGGCUAACUACGUGCCAGCAGCCGCCGUAA